CUUAGACAUGACAUUCCUUGGCCUCCCUUUCAGCAAGAUGAGAAAACUGAGGCACAGAGAGGUGAAAUAAGGCCCCCAGAAUGCUCUUCUCCAAGACUUAGAAAAAUCAAAUGCUAUCCAUCCCUCAAGAUACAUCCCUCCAGCCCCUCCUUGAAGUCUCCUGCAGCUAGAAGUAGAAGUAGCAUCUAUCCCCAUCUGGACUCCUUAGCACUUUGCUGUACCUGCCUUAGUCCCCAUCUCUUUACACACACACACACACACACACACACACACACAGAGUAUUAUAAUACUAUUACCUAUUAUAUUACAUUAUAUUAUUGUAGUUCUACAGGAACUACAAGGAAUUCUACUGUGAAUUCCUUAAGGGUGGGAUACAUUUUACAAUCAUCACUGUUUCUCUCAUUAGUUGUGGAAUCAAAAAAAUGAGUGCACGAUGAAAAAUUAUUCAAACACAUACAUGCUUUCAUUCCAAUUGAAAAUGUAAAAAUAUUACUGUUAAAACAAUAUUAAAGGACAUGUAAUACAAUUCAAAUAUUCCUACCAUGCACGAUUGUUUUCACUUCUUUGUGCCUCUUUCACCAUUUAUUUGUGUGCAUACUCAGCAUAUUUGUUUGUGUAACAGGAUGUUAAAAAUAGAAUUUGUUGCCUGUAGUUUUUGCUAAAGCUCUACUAGACUGGAACAGAACAAUAGGUGGUAAAUACUCCAUUCCUCAGUGAGAUGCUACCUACCUAUGCAGAGCUGGAAAAGAUUUUGCAACCUGAAAACCCAAUCCUUUCUGAGAUAUAAAAGAACAGAAGAGUCUGGAAGUGAUUUCUUCGGAGAAAUUCAUUUUCUUAUUCCAGAGAAGAAACUUCAAGCUCAGAAUAUUGGCUACUACCUGUGAUAAACAUUUAAAUUAUUGGAACGAGAGAGUUUUUAUAACUAAAUUUGAAAGAAGCAAUUUUUUUUAUCAAAGACCAACCCGAAGAUUCAUGACCACUACCUGUGAUUUCAUCCAUGUUGCAAGGAAAAUCCUGCCCCACUUCCCCAAUAGGAAGAGUGGUGGGGGAAUAAUAAAGUUGUUUUAUGAUGCAUCCUGUGGACUUCUACUCGACAGAAUGGUAACAUUCAACUGUAAUCAGGAUGAGCAAGCCACUUUAUUAAACUAAAAUUUUAAACUUUAAUAAAUAUAAUACAAACUGAAAAAUAAAAAUAAUUUUUCAACUCUACACAAGUAUGUUAACUGCAUAAACAGUGAGAUGUUACACAGGGCUGAGGCCUAUACUUCUUCAGUUUGUACAUUAAACGUCUCCAUGGAGG
rnacentral:lncRNA from 1 species